CGUCACUGCGCUCCAGUCUGGGAAACAGAGCAAGACUCUGUCUCAAAAAAAAAAAAAAAAAAAAAAAAAGCAUGCAUUUAAGCAGUAACUCCCCAUUCCCCCCAUGCACCCACUCCUGGUUAACCUCUCUUCUCUCUGUCUCUGAACUUGCCUCCUGUGAAGACCUUGUGUAAGUGGAAUAUUGCAAUAUUUGUCCUUCGCCUAGCCUCAUGUUCUCAAGGUUCAUUCAUCUGUGUUGCAGCCUCUUUCCAUAAUUGGUUCCAUUUUAUGAAUAUUGAAACUGGCCCAAUUGUCCCAUAGAAGUGAUGUUUAUGGUUUCUUUUAAAUAAACCUAGAAAUUGGCCCUCUGAAUCUUAGAACUUGAGAAAGUUACAUUUGUCCUAUCUGAGUUCCUUUCUCAGGAAACCAACCACUGGGCCUCCAGAUCGCACCAAGAAGCUGAAAUCCACCAGAUCACAGCAUCUGGACAAUGAGAUGAGAGACACCUCACCCUUCAUGAUUGCCCAGCUGGCCACCUGCUCCCAUUGACCAGCUCUUCCUUACCCUCCCUAAUUCCCAUUUUCUCACACACAGAUGCAUUUCUUCCCUGCUAAAAACCCCUAAUUUUAGGUGGUUGAGGUCAUGGGGUGACUCUGAGUAACAGUCAGAGGAACCUCCAAAUGGGUUUCCGAGGUGGCUGCUCUUUACAUUCCCAUGAGCAGUACAGGGGGCGCGGUUUCCCCACAGCCUUGCCGUCGCUUACCUCUCAUUUUCAGUGAUUUUAUUUGAGAAACAUACAUUCACCCGUCCAAACCCAAGGAAUAGACUCGGAGACUUGAGGAACAGGCGGAGCUCGCAGUGAGCCGAGAUCGCACCUCUGCACUCCAGGAGGCUGAGGCAGGAGAAUGGCGUGAACCCGGGAGGCGGAGCUUGCAGUGAGUCAAGAUCCCACCUCUGCACUCCAG
rnacentral:lncRNA from 10 species